rnacentral:rRNA from 1 species
CGUGAGAUGUUGGGUUAAGUCCCGCAACGAGCGCAACCCUUGCCAUUAGUUGCUACGAAAGGCACGUCUAAUGGGACUGCCGGUGACAAACCGGAGGAAGGUGGGGAUGACGUCAGGUCAUCAUGGCCCUUAUGGGUAGGGCUACACACGUCAUACAAUGGCCGGUACAGAGGGCUGCCAACCCGCGAGGGGGAGCCAAUCCCAGAAAACCGGUCGUAGUCCGGAUCGUAGUCUGCAACUCGACUGCG